rnacentral:tRNA from 1 species
CAUCAAGAAGCUAAAAAUCAGCAUUAACCUUUUAAGUUAAAGACUGGGACCUUAGAUUUCCCCUUGAUGG